GUGGGGAAUAUUGGACAAUGGGGGGAACCCUGAUCCAGCCAUGCCGCGUGUGUGAAGAAGGCCUUUUGGUUGUAAAGCACUUUAAGCGAGGAGGAGGCUACCGAGAUUAAUACUCUUGGAUAGUGGACGUUACUCGCAGAAUAAGCACCGGCUAACUUCGUGCCAGCAGCCGCGGUAAUACGAAGGGUGCAAGCGUUAAUCGGAAUUACUGGGCGUAAAGCGCGCGUAGGUGGUUUUGUAAGUUGGAGGUGAAAUCCCUGAGCUUAACUUAGGAAUUGCAUUCGAUACUGGAAAGCUAGAGUAUGGGAGAGGAUGGUAGAAUUCCAGGUGUAGCGGUGAAAUGCGUAGAGAUCUGGAGGAAUACCGAUGGCGAAGGCAGCCAUCUGGCCUAAUACUGACGCUGAGGUACGAAAGCAUGGGGAGCAAACAGGAUUAGAAACCCGAGUAGUCC
rnacentral:rRNA from 1 species